GUAGGUCUGAAUGUAACAGGUAAAAGGUGGUGCUGACCACCCAGCAGGAAGGCAGCAGCAACAGUUCCCCCCACACACACACCAGCAAGUUUCAUUGUGUGUUGAGAAGCAACAGGAGUUUUUCAGACUUUAAUGUUAUGAGAAGACAGUUGAAUCUGAACCUGUGCACACACAUUAGGAUAGAUCUAUUGUAGUUCACAAAUUCAGGGCAUCAUGAAGGCAACUUUGCCUGCUGGGCACAGACAAACAGCCUAGUCACACGAGCUGAGCAGCAGUAAGGUUCAGCAAUGUAUACAGUGACUACUGCUGUCUCCCUUCAAGCUGCAGCCUCAACUAAGCCAUCGGUUACAAGCAACAAGGGACUGCCUGCCUUGCUGAAGUUAUCUUAGGGGAAUCUCUUUGGAAGCUGACAAACUGAUUUAAGCAGCUGUGAAAUAAUUUACUGGGUCUUGAGUUUUACUAAAGGAGCACAAAAGGCGUUGAGAGCUUUUGGUGUUUUAUGCCACAAGAAGAAUGUUUGGUUCAGUAACUGUCCAGUUUCUCUUUGACUUUCCUCUUGCCUCCCACAAGGAUCAUAUUUGACUGCCAUUUGAAUGCAACCAUUGGUUAACUUCUGUGUGGAGAUGCAGUGUCUUUCAGCUUAUAAAAGCUAUGUGGACACCACCAAACUCACACAAAGCCCUCAUUUUAUAAAGAGGGGUGAAAAGAAAAGAUUACAUAGCUCUUACAAAACUCGGAAUGUUCCAAAUACUACAGUAAGCAAAGAUGCACCAGAAAGUGGAAUACCGAAAAGUAAAGAGAGCCUGUGUUCGACUGGAAAAAUGAAAGGAAAGCAUGCACAGUGUGAUGGAGCCUCACUCUUCUACCACUACAACUUCUGCGGGUAUUACGGGGAAGGAGAAAAGAAUUGCCUGAACACAACAAUACAGAGAGCAAGGAAGGAAAAACAGGAACUGUGGAUUCCCACUCGCUCCGCCUGAUCUUUUCCACACUGCUGAAGUUAAUGUGACAGGAGCCCGAAGAUGGAUUACCCGCUGCCAUAUUGCCCAUCACCUCCAAUCAGCAGCUAUCGGGAUGCAUCAUCAAGAUGCUGUGCCAAUAUGCAUGAAGCCAGCUAGGAGCUGCAAGAAAGACAACGGGAGAGUAACUGGAUAGUAGAAAAGCUGUCUGCUGAAAAGGCACAGGCUUGUUCCUUGGCCCUAACAAUGCAAUUACAGCCCUGCAGAUCGCACUGUUUGUGCAUUAAGUACAGAGCCAAAACGAGGCGAAUUGAUCGUUUGACUUUUGGAGGAGCCAUGUGAUCUCUGCGUGCGGGUGAUCCGGCAUGCACCAGUGGGCAGUGCUGCAGUGCGCGCCUCGCCAUGAACCCGCUCCUCGCCACCUCCCUCCCCUGCCCGCUCCCAACAGCAAAGAUGUUGGAGCCCACCCCACCUAAAUCCCCCUCAAGCAAUAAAAGCAGCCUCAUUUUUGGGUGCUCUCUUACUAGACUGAACUCAGAACCCACUCUGCCUUCUGAAAUGUGAUACUUGGCCACAUCAGUGGCUUCCCUGCAGUGGGCUACACUAGGAAACUGUUAUUACAGCAUUCUGUACCACAAGCUUUAGCACAAGAAUUGGACAUAUUUUCAAACAACUUUUUAAAUUCUUGUAUUUGAAAAAUACUAAAAAUACAUGUAGCGUCAUGUAUUCUGUACCAGUCAAUACAGAUAGAUGACUACUUAAAAAGCAAUGUUUCCCUUCAUGUCUGCCACCAUUUAUCACCAAAGCCACUGAUGACUUGGAUUCUGAACGGCUUCACAUUUCCAGCAUGAAGGAACCUAAAGCACUUUGUAAAUGCAGGUCUAGUUUGGUUGUAACACUUAUCCUUACAAGCUUGAUGUGAUGGAUCUGGAAUGAAGACCUCAAGGCUGUAAUUCUUUAUGCAGAGUACCCAUCACCAAACCAGCAAACACACGCAAGGAACUACAACAUGUGAUACUACACAUAAUAUAGUCACCGAGGAAUUUUGACUAAGGAUGCCAGGUCAAGUUCUGAAUUUUAAAAGACUUAUAUUACAUGUUCUCUGUUUGUACACUGAGAGGAUUCCAGGAUGAUUUCAUUUAGAAGAGACCCCUGGAGUUCUCCAGCUCAGCCUCCUGCCCAAAGCAGGGUGCUUUAUGAGGUCAGAUCCGGUAACUCAUGGCUUCAUUUAGCCUGGUCUUGUAAACCUCCAAGGAUGGAGGCUGCAGAGCCUUCACAAGUAACCUGCUCCAGCUUGACUGUCAUCACCACAAGAAAAUUCUUCCUUGAAACCACUCAAACAUGAGAUGGAGUUUCUAACAUCUGUGGGGGGACCUUCCAGUAUUUACUGAACUCAAUCUGAAAUGUAAUGCAAUUUGCUUUAUCAAGAUUCCAAACCAUGGGGUCCAAAAAGUAGAAACAUCUCCAAUGAGUUGACCAAACUUGGAAAAUGAUUCUUCAUAUGAAGAUUUUGCCUAUCCCCUGCCUGACCACCCUUCCUGCAGAGCCUGGAGAACUGAUCUCCAUAAUACGCUUAAGAGACCCUCAGCUACAAAGCAAUAUCAAGGUAGAGGCAGAGAACCUUUCCGAGCUGUUGCUGCUGAGUCCAGAACUAAGCAGAAACCUGGGGAUGCUGCAUGCCAUUUUGAAAGUGUCUCAUCAGUGCUGUCUCACAGGGUGCCUGUCUCUGGCACAAGGAGGAAAGAAUUCAAAGUGCAAAAUGAAACUGAGAAUGCUCCUUUGUACAGGAGAUACAGAUGAACUGGAACCAACUGCAGGAGUUAACAAACAGUAAGAUCUAUCUAGUGAAUGGAGGAAAUGGGUAUUGACUGCAGAACUCUGAGAUCAGCUAUACACCAAUCUCCUGUUGGGAAAGGAAAGAGCACUUGGAAUCAAAAGGGUAUUGCUAGGAUCCAUGGUAAUGCAAAAUCUAACAAACUUGAAGCAAACAGCAGAACUCAGACCUAACACACCACAUAAAGGUAUGAAAAGGCAAGACUUCUGUUUGAAAACAGGACUGUAUAUAAUCCAUGCAAGGAAAUACUCAGCCAAGGAGACUGGAGACACACCAGAGCAUCCUGCACCACACAUCAAACAGAAAGUGUGAAGGUCACUACAGAAAGAUGUCCUGGGCACAGAACAGAAGAGAAACUUGUUUGCACACCCAGGAGCAACAGAAGAAUCCUAGUGACAUACCAGAUGCCAGGGGACUUUUAACUAUGUCCCUCUCUAAUUGAAGAUGAAGUACACACCAACACCAUUAUCUGCCUGAAGAUACUGGCUUACAAAAUAUGGAACAAACAAUAGGAACAGAUGCUCAUUUGGCCAGAUUUCAAUAAGCCUCAUUAAAAUCAAACACCCUGUCCUUGGAGCCCAGGUUCAUGCUACAUUUCUACCUUAUUUAAGCACCUAGCACCAAUUCCUGAAGGAAGUUGUCCACCUGUGGUUGCACACGUACUGGUAUCAUUAAAAGAAACCCUCUUGCAGAAAUUUUUUAGUAUCUAAAGAAACAAAAAGAAGGCAUAUAUAUAUAUAUAUAUAUAUGCCUGUGUGUGUACACACACAUGUAGAAACACAGUUAGAGACUGCAUUUCCUUUUAAAAGAUGUUAGCUUGAAUAUAUAUAUUUGCUGAUCACUCAAAGGCAAUGGGCAAAAAGAUGACAAAAAUAACAUAAAAACUCUGGCACAUGCAAGAGAAAUGAUGCUACAGAUCACACAUGUGAAAUCUGUGCAUCACAAUGUGUAAUUUUUAAUUUAAGAUCCCACCUAUUCAGUCAAAACAUGCCCACACUUGAAACAAUUUCUAAUGCUUGUUUGCUUUUACACAAACAUGUCCAAGUCCUGCCAAUGGAGUUUCAGAGGACAAAUAUCAGAAAAGAAGGGCUAAGAACGAGACACAAAGAUUCAUCAGAAUAUUAUAUUCUAGCUUAAAAAUGUCUGAAUAAAACCAGUUAAUUCAUUGGUUUGCAAAAAAGCACUGAGCACCUGGUUGCAGAGUCGGCAUGACACUGUACACAAAACCAGACAGACAAGGUUUCCUAACAAACAUCCUUGAAUGAUCAAAAUAUUGUGGCCCUAUGCUGCUUUCCACACCUGAAUAUGUGUAUAUGUUUUUCCCCCCUGCUAUUUUAGGAAGAAUGCCAGUUGUUAGGUUGUUAGUUUAAGCUGGAUGUCCUGCACAGAAGCACUUGUUCACAAGAGAGUUUAAAAAACAGGCAGUGCUCUAGUCUGAGAGAAGAUACCUCAAUGUUGAUAUGUGUGGCCUCAAGGGUAACUGCAUUUCAUUCUUAGAACAAACUUUUAGAAAUGUCAAUGCACAGAAUCAGCAAAUGCCAUUAAUACAGUCUUAACAGAGCACAAUUAUCUUUUCUGCAAGUAGGUGCAGAAUCAGAAAUUUAGUUUUCAGAAAAACCAUUGUCUCUUGCAGACUGACUGACACAUCUGACAAGCAGCUGAUAAUGCAGAUGGCAGAUCCCAGCCAGGGCUGAUACUGCACUGCAGAAUCAGAAAAAAUAAGUAAUGAUUUUCAAAGUAACCCCUUCUGUGUUUCACUGCAAGUUUAAAAAACAAAUUGAACCCCCUACAUUUGGAAAAGUGCUGCAGAUAAUGAAAACUGCAGCACCUUCCAGUAUUCACCUCCCUCACAAAACAUUCUGAAGUCCAAGGCUAUAAAAUACAUCAAUCAUGGAAGAUAAAACUUGCUGUGUGCAGGUGGUAGGAGAAGGCCUCUGGACUCCUUAAAUCCCAUUUAAGCCCUUCACUUAGGGAACAUUUAACAGUUGUGCCAUUUGCCAAUGCCAUCACUGAACCAUCUGCAUUUAGAUAGUUGGAUUUAUAAAUCCUUUGA